AGCGAACGCUGGCGGCAGGCCUAACACAUGCAAGUCGAACGAACCUUUCGGGGUUAGUGGCGGACGGGUGAGUAACACGUGGGAACGUGCCUUUAGGUUCGGAAUAACUCAGGGAAACUUGUGCUAAUACCGGAUGUGCCCUUCGGGGGAAAGAUUUAUCGCCUUUAGAUCGGCCCGCGUUUGAUUAGCUAGUUGGUUGAGGUAAUGGCUCACCAAGGCGACGAUCAUUAGCUGGUCUGAGAGGAUGAUCAGCCACAUUGGGACUGAGACACGGCCCAAACUCCUACGGGAAGCAGCAGUGGGGAAUCUUGCGCAAUGGGCGAAAGCCUGACGCAGCCAUGCCGCGUGAAUGAUGAAGGUCUUAGGAUUGUAAAAUUCUUUCACCGGGGACGAUAAUGACGGUACCCGGAGAAGAAGCUCCGGCUAACUUCGUG
rnacentral:rRNA from 1 species